ACUCUCCUGCUUUGCUCGUGAUGGUUUCGGAGGCUUGUCUGAGCCGAUGUUUUAACCAAGCGAGUUGCGAAGCCAUGUGGUGUGCAUGCCUCCGCGGAGAGGAAGCCUAAAACGUGGUUACUACAGCGACUCCACCUGCUAUGCAGGUUCAGCAAUCCUCCCCACACGGCAAAGCGGGAAAUUU
rnacentral:other from 1 species